rnacentral:rRNA from 1 species
UGAGCAACCUGCCCUUCACUCUGGGAUAACUCCGGGAAACCGGGGCUAAUACCGGAUACUCUCAGCCGACCGCAUGACCGGCUGAGGAAAGCUCCGGCGGUCUGGAUGGCCCGCGGCCUAUCAGCUUGUUGGUGGGGUAACGGCCUACCAAGGCGACGACGGGUAGCUGGUCUGAGAGGACGGCCAGCCACACUGGGACUGAGACACGGCCCAGACUCCUACGGGAG